rnacentral:lncRNA from 1 species
CAUGUACGAAAUUUUAAAAUUUACACGUGGUUGAAAAUAUUGUUGUUUUUGCUCUAAUGCAUCCUGUAUUUAACUUUUGAACCAUUCUACUCAAAAUGUGAAACACAUUAGAGGAUUCUACGGCGGUUUUGGAAAUAAUGGAGAAAUACGAAAGACUUUACGAGGCCUAAAAAUGAACAUACUCUGAUCACGAAGUUCAUUCUACUAGCAUUGCCCAGUCCACCAGCUCACUUGGGCAUUUACAAGCCAAGAAAAGCUUAUCAAAUAAUGGAAAUAAUGGAAACCAAAUUCACAGUAUGUUUUUUUAUAAUUAUUAUUGCACAUUUUUAAGUAGAUUGUAUAUGCUUAGACAAAACAAAAUAUUUUUGUCAAAUCAAAAGCGCCAGUAUGGCCGGAUGAAAGCGUUGUGCAACGUUGCACAACAGUUUAUAUCCACAGGGAAAAAUUAAAUUUCCAUUGGUGGGUUUUUGAAUGUAGAAAUUGACUUCUCUGACCAUUACUGGUUAUUAUAGAUUUCCCAUAAGAUAAAUUAUUCCUGUGGCUGUGCACAGGAAAAUAUAGUACUAAAAAUAAAGUACCGUCAUUAUUUAUGAUUUGGGGGGAGGAUGGUGAAAUCAUAGGGGGGGGGGAUGAGUUUAGUAUUUGUUUUGGGGGGUCACCAAAGUUUGAGGAGUAAUUGGGAGUGUGGGGGGAGGGGGAGUCAUGAAAGUUUUAAUUCUGGCAUGUUUGGACCUCUUUAACUCUUUAAAAUAUGCCAUUAUAGAACAUGAAAAUUUUGAAUUAUUACAUGGCUACAAGUUUAAUUACAGUGGCCAAACUUUGCACUAUUACUAACAUCAUAAAAUAAACACUUUUUAACUGGGCGUAAAAGAAAAAUACCUGUAGUUCCGGUUCCCGACCGACUCUAUUUUUUCUGCCGACCCUAUUAUUUUUUUAACGCGAUUGAUCGCGCGACCCUAUUUUCUCCGGGUGGUUGCAGGCUGCUGCCAAAAUGGCAUCUGUUGUCACACUAAUUAUUGAAAAAACCAUGAAAAAAAUAUUCAAAAAUAAAAUAAUUUCUGACCUACCCUAAUUUUUUCGCGAUAUGAAACUGGAACCACAAGGGUUUUUUUUAUGCCUUGUUAACUGAUAUUGUACAUACCAUAUUGAUACACUUGUACUGCAUUUUAUAUAAAAUGGGGGGGGGGGUCACAAAAGUUUUUGGUCUUUUCUUGGGGGCAGAGGGUCAUGUACGUUUUGCUGUUGCCAGCAAACAGAAUAUCACUUCCUAACUUCCUGUGAAGCCUCUAUUAAUCUUCGAGAAAACUUUUUAAAUAACUUGGAAAGUUAUCCCACCAAUGAAACAGAUUUAAACGAACACAGUUUACCAGUUGAGAGAAUUAAAUCAACUGAUAAUGAAACCGUGAUAAAAUUAUCAAAAUUUAUUUUAAAUUUGAGAAGAGAUCUAAAUGCCUUGAAGCUUGGAAUGCUGACUGUCAAUAGGCUAUCUAACUAAAACCCACAUUUCUUCAAUUACAUAUAUACUGUAAAUAGAGUACUCAUUUGUAAACUACAAUCCUGGACAAAACGUUGUGGACAACCCACAGAAUUUGGCCUCGAAUGGUGUUUUUUCUAAAUAAUUAUCCCCCCGCUCCCCCAAGCCAAUGUUGAAUGGGAUUUUCAUCAGAUACGAAGUGCGGUUAAGUCGGAUAUGCAACAUUGAAGAGGGGGAGUGGGGGAUGUGCAAGUAAAUUCAAGUUUUAGGUGUUUGUUAUGAUUUUUGCAAAAGUGGAUUAAGUGUCCACAUGAGUUUUGGCCAGGAUUGUAGGUAUUUCUUUAUAUCAAUAACUUUUAUUUCUUGUAUUACUCGAUACUGACAGUGUGUCAUACUACCACAAAACAUUUUGCAUUUGUAAAUAUUUAUAAUUAACUAAUAAGUAACAUCAAGCAAUACUUCUAUGUAAAGUCAUGCUAAUAAAGCCAUUUGUUACUGUUACUGCCAGAGGGGGGGGGGGGGGUCAUGUCAAACCAUAAAUAAUGAACUAAUGAACACUGCCUAUCAAAUAUUAAACAUUGUUUUUACCAUUUGCUGUAUAUAGUACACAUCAUAAUAAAUAUUUAAAAAAAACAUUCAGAAACUUUUGGAAUUUUUUCCCUGUGUUUGAUGAACAAGCUGGUGCACAGUUUUUAUUUCAGUUGUCUCUGGUGCAAAUGUUAUAAUGUCCAAUUAAAAAAUUAAAUGAAAUUGUUUGUUUUAUAUAUGUGCAUUAAUUUGCAAGUCAUUUAAAUAAAAGAGAAGCGCAUUAGAAUGAUUAGUAUAAUUAUAUCAAUAACACGGAAAGAACGACAAUAGCGCUGUAUUCCGUAAAGUGAAAAUCAAUGGCGCGAAACAAAGAUCAAAUGCUUGCACUUAUUAAUCAUUGACAUUUUUACAACAACAAUAGCGAUAAAUCAAAAGACAUUUAACUACAACAAAUAUUCAUUAUUUAAUACUAGUAUAAUAGCUAACACUACAUCUGCCUCCGUUUGAUGAUGUUUUUACCUGUUUCUUCUUGAAACAAUUUUGUGAGUUAAAGGUGUUUGUGUCAUUUGAAUAGCCUUUCGAUAUCGAACCACAAGUUUAUAUAUCCAAAUCCAGAUAAAAACCACAGUGAUGAUUAUGGAGGAUAUAAUACAGAAUGCCAAAUAAGCAUCAAGCGGGGGUAUAUUUUGCGACAGUGGCAGUUGCCAUCGUUUCUAUACAACCUGGCCCCAGGCAGAGGUAAUACAGAGGUUCAGAUUUGGCUACCGCUACCUCUCACUGGCUUAAUAAUUAAUGCGCAUUUGAUUGGUUAAUCGGGUAGAUUAAACGCAUCUGAUUGGUUAAUGGUAGAGGUAGCAUGUGCACCACCAUCAAUUCUCUAGCAGUAGCUGUUGUGGAAGUAAAAAUAAAUAUUCAUUAUAAAAUACUGCAACAUUACUUCUGAAUUGACUUUUCUGCUCCCAGACCAUAAGUUAUAUCAGUAGUUUCAUAUUGUAUUUUUUAAACAUAAUUGGAAAUUUAUGGUAUAUGUCUAUAACCCUUAUAACAAUUGCUAUUCUAUUUGUAUUCCAGUGUAUUCAAUGUUUGAUAUCCCAGAAACAUGUACGAGCACACCUACAUAUUUUUGUAUGUUUACAAUUCUAACCUUGGCUAUACCUUAACAAUUUUUUACCUUUUCUUGGGGAUUUGUGACCACUGCAACCAUCGCUUUAGCAUCAAUCAAGAUUAAAUCAUAUUUUGCUUAUUAAAUCAAUCGUCCCCGUUGGAUUUACCUGGAUUUGGGCAUAUCGUCAUGACUCGACAUCGAAAGGCCAUUUAAACAACUACACAAAUUCGUUCAACUUGCGAAAUUGGUUUAAGAAAGAAGAUACUUAGAUCAACAGUAACUGCUUUAGCAGUUGUUUCGAGUCUUCUAGGAUGAUAUUUCUUUGGUCUUUGCUUCAUCUUUUUUUCUUAUAUGUUGUUGGACGCAUGCAUGCAUGCACUGGAAAUUUUUUUCAAAAUGCUUGCUAUAUCCAAAUAGUAUGGAUCCUAGUUGAUAAUAGUAUGGAAAUCCAAUUUUCAUACUAGUUGCAAUUUCCAUACUACGAUUAUAGUAUGGAAACAGUAUGGAUGGAUUUAGUGAUGCAAUCACAAAUACCAUAGUAUGAAUUUUACCUUUUUUUCAGUAAUAGACCCAUUGCACAUGACGUCACAGCGCCGGCGACGAUGCAUCUGGAGGACAAAUUAGCAAUCUAUGCAUAAUAUAACUUUUGUAAACAAACAAAUUUUGUAAAACUUUAUAUAAUAAUUUUGUAUUAAAAUGGUUAGUUUUAAUUUUGCGCUGUAUGUGGACCCGAACAGAUAUUGUUAGGGAGCAUCUGGAGGACACUCUAAGGAUUUGUGACGUCAGUGAGGUCGCUCGGGUCACUCGUGAUACACAUCGUUGAUAUUAUUUUUUCAUAUCAACGUUAUGACGUCACACCGUCUAAUAUCAUGUCAAAACUCUAUAUCUAUUGAGUUGACAUGACGAUUUUAUAGUUGGCUGUGAGUAUAAAUAACGAUAUAUAAUAAAUAACGAUAUAUAAUAUUAGGACUUUGCAGUAAUCUGCAGUGUGAAAGACAUACAAAUGCCUGAAAUAAUAACUUUAUUAAUAAUGUACAUGAAGAAAAUUUUCAAUUCUGAUUGGCUAAGAGUAGUGCAAUUUUUUCGAAAUACAGUGCCAAAAAAAGAAAUACAGUGCAAAUUUCAUUGACUAUUUAGGCUUUCUGAUUGGUUUAAAAUAUGAAACGAUAGGAAAGAUAGCCAAUAAGAUACAGCAAUUUCCAGCAGAAAUAAUAUAAAAAACAAACAUUUGGGAGUUUUUAGGAGUGACUGCAUAAUAUUUUCAUGUAUAUUAUUAAUAAGUAAUAGUAUGGUUUCUCGUGCAAUUUGAAAAAACGUACACUCGUGAGUUUUUCAAAGACUUCAAGUUGCACUCGUCCUUCGGACUCAUGCAAUCUUGAUAGUCUUUGAAAAACUCACUCGUGCAUGUUUUUUUUCCAAAUUGCAUUCGAAACCAUACUAUAUACGGGAGGAAAAAAAAUCGGAGUGUAAACGGCAACGAACGUGUAACCUUUUCGCAGUAACCUUGUUCUUCAGCUGUUAGAUAAAUCCUUAAAUGCUUUCUAUAGAUUUAAACUCAAAUAUUGAGUGCAGAACGAAAGAACAAAAGACUGAAGGACGUUUUUCUCAGGAAAUCUAGGAAUUCAAAGAAGCUCGUUAUUCCCUUACUAGCUAUCGUAUUGAUGACAUCGUCCAGGAGCAAGAGUACAAGUUGAAAUCAAUGUAUGCAGAAAGAUGGUCUGAUUAUGU